AUUGAACGCUGGCGGCAGGCUUAACACAUGCAAGUCGAGCGGAGCGAGGGUGCUUGCACCUUAGCUUAGCGGCGGACGGGUGAGUAAUGCUUAGGAAUCUGCCUAUUAGUGGGGGACAACAUUCCGAAAGGAAUGCUAAUACCGCAUACGCACUACGGGGGAAAGCAGGGGAUCUUCGGACCUUGCGCUAAUAGAUGAGCCUAAGUCGGAUUAGCUAGUUGGUGGGGUAAAGGCCUACCAAGGGGACGAUCUGUAGCGGGUCUGAGAGGAUGAUCCGCCACACUGGGACUGAGACACGGCCCAGACUCCUACGGGAGGCAGCAGUAGGGAAUAUUGGACAAUGGGCGGAAGCCUGAUCCAGCCAUGCCGCGUGUGUGAAGAAGGCCUUUUGGUUGUAAAGCACUUUAAGCGAGGAGGAGGCUCUUAAGGUUAAUACCCUUGAUGAGUGGACGUUACUCGCAGAAUAAGCACCGGCUAACUCUGUGCCAGCCGCCGCCGUAACAC
rnacentral:rRNA from 1 species